GAAGGUUUAGCUCAAGUGGUAGAGUGCCUGCUUAGCAUGCACAAGGUCCUGGGUUCAAUCCCUAGUACCUCCU
rnacentral:tRNA from 1 species